rnacentral:lncRNA from 1 species
CAGUGUACACUGUAAGAUCUUCUGACUGAAACUACUGAACCAAUUUUAUUCGAACUUUAUUUGAAUGUUUCUAUGUUAUCGUAGAGAAUAUAGAUUGUGUUUGAAGGGCAUUGAGGACUUAGUAAAAAAAUCAAAUAAUAAAGUCUUCCCAAAUAGGACUAUUUUAAACCGUCUGUGCCAAGAGCUAGAAAAUUCUUAGUAUUUUGAAUAAUUCAAAAGUUUUUAAAACAG